rnacentral:rRNA from 1 species
AACGAACGCUGGCGGCGUGCUUAACACAUGCAAGUCGAACGCGAAAGGGACUUCGGUCCUGAGUAAAGUGGCGCACGGGUGAGUAACGCGUAGAUAACCUGUCUUCAUGUCUGGAAUAAUACGCCAAAGGGGUACUAAUACCGGAUAUUCUUGCUUUUCAUAAGUUAUGCAAGCAAAGGUGGCCUCUGCAUAUGCUACUGCAUGAAGAGGGGUCUGCGUACCAUUAGCUAGUAGGUGGGGUAAUGGCCUACCUAGGCGACGAUGGUUAGCGGGUCUGAGAGGAUGAUCCGCCACACUGGCACUGGAACACGAGCCAGACUCCUACGGGAGGCAGCAGUGAGGAAUAUUGCGCAAUGGGGGAAACCCUGACGCAGCGACGCCGCGUGAAGUGAGGAAGGCCUUCGGGUCGUAAAGCUCUGUCAAGAGGAAAGAAGUGUACAAUGGCUAAUACCUGUUGUAUUUGACGGUACCUCUAAAGGAAGCACCGGCUAACUCCGUGCCAGCCGCCGC